UACAGAGGAUGCAAGCGUUAUCCGGAAUGAUUGGGCGUAAAGCGUCUGUAGGUGGCUUUUAAGUCCGCCGUCAAAUCCCAGGGCUCAACUCUGGCCAGGCGGUGGAAACUACCAAGCUUGAGUACGGUAGGGGCAGGAGGGAAUUUCCGGGUGGAGUGGUGGAAAUGACGGUAGAUAUCGGGAGGAACACCAAUAGCGAAAGCACUCUGCUGGGCCAAUACUGACGCUGAGGGACGAAAGCGAGGGGAGCAAAUGGG
rnacentral:rRNA from 1 species